GCUCCUCCCACACACCUGUUUUAGAUAUAUGACCUGACGAAAUAGACAAGUAUGGUCAGUCAGCUCUCUGAAAUGAUUUGUCUGGAUCCUGAGAUGUGCUCCCAACUCUGCCAGCAAGAACUCAAACUGCCAUGCUGACAUCCUGAGAUAUGUAAGAAAGUGGUCAUGAAACAGCUUCAACUCCUGGAUCAAACCAUGAAAUUCUCCCUGCUGCUGCUUUCUCCUAAGAAUCUGUUUCUUCCUAGAAGAUAGAAAAACACACGACAGAGCACCAUCAGUCAUGGAUUGAUCUCCCCAGAACUUGAAUCUCCACAUUGUUAAAUAAAGUGUGAUAUCAUCUCAACACAGAAUGGGACAAAGUACAGUCAACAUCCAAAGAAAUGUUUGCACUGUUACUACUCAGCCAUACCCAAAAUAGACUUGGCAAGAACUGUACAAAAAUAUUUCAAUAAAUCACUCCACCUGCUAUUUAUUUUCCCAGCAAAAUAUAAGAAAAGAGUGACAGUUCAAGAAUAUUCCACAAUACUGUGUAACGCAACCAUAUUUAUUGUUUUUAAGAUGUUUUAGCUGCUUUGGAGUGAUAUAUGAAUGUAUACAAAAAAGACUUGAGUCCUUUCAAUGCAACUCUCUGAUAAAUGAUUGCUUGCUGUGCACUUAAUUGUGCUAAUAAACUGUGCCCAGGACUUCUGGUAAGUGAA